rnacentral:rRNA from 1 species
UACGUAGGGGGCGAGCGUUGUCCGGAAUUACUGGGCGUAAAGGGCGCGCAGGCGGCUCGGUAAGUCCCCGGUGAAAGCCCGGGGCUCAACCCCGGAAGGGCCGGGGGGACUGCCGAGCUGGGGGCUCGGAGAGGAGCGGGGAAUUCCGGGUGGAGCGGUGGAAUGCGUAGAGAUCCGGAGGAACACCGAUGGCGAAGGCACCGCGCUGGCCGAGACCCGACGCUGAGGCGCGAAAGCGGGGGGAGCGAACGGG